rnacentral:rRNA from 1 species
UACAGAGGGGGCAAGCGUUAUUCGGAAUUAUUGGGCGUAAAGGGCGCGUAGGCGGCUUUGCAAGUGACGGGUGAAAUCCCUCGGCUUAACCGAGGAACUGCCUGUCAAACUGCAUGGCUUGAGACCGGGAGAGGUGAGUGGAAUUCCCAGUGUAGCGGUGAAAUGCGUAGAUAUUGGGAGGAACACCAGUGGCGAAGGCGGCUCACUGGACCGGUACUGGCGCUGAUGCGCGAAAGCGUGGGUAGCAAACAGG